rnacentral:rRNA from 1 species
AUACGGAGGGUGCAAGCGUUACUCGGAAUCACUGGGCGUAAAGCGCGCGCAGGCGGCUUGAUAAGUUGGAUGUGAAAGCCUACGGCUCAACCGUAGAACUGCAUCCAAAACUGUCAAGCUAGAGUCUGGGAGGGGAAGAUGGAAUUAGUUGUGUAGGGGUAAAAUCCGUAGAGAUAACUAGGAAUACCAAAAGCGAAGGCAAUCUUCUGGAACACUACUGACGCUGAGGCGCGAAAGCGUGGGGAGCAAACAGGAUUAGAAACCCCGGUAGUCC